GAUGAACGCUGGCGGCGUGCUUAACACAUGCAAGUCGAACGGAAAGGCUCCUGCUUGCAGGGGUACUCGAGUGGCGAACGGGUGAGUAACACGUGGGUGAUCUGCCCUGCACUUCGGGAUAAGCCUGGGAAACUGGGUCUAAUACCGGAUAGGACGAUGGUUUGGAUGCCAUUGUGGAAAGUUUUUCGGUGUGGGAUGAGCUCGCGGCCUAUCAGCUUGUUGGUGGGGUAAUGGCCUACCAAGGCGUCGACGGGUAGCCGGCCUGAGAGGGUGUACGGCCACAUUGGGACUGAGAUACGGCCCAGACUCCUACGGGAGGCAGCAGUGGGGAAUAUUGCACAAUGGGCGCAAGCCUGAUGCAGCGACGCCGCGUGGGGGAUGACGGCCUUCGGGUUGUAAACUCGUUUCGCUAGGGACGAAGCGCAAGUGACGGUACCUGGAGAAGAAGCACCGGCUAACUACGUG
rnacentral:rRNA from 1 species